UACGUAGGGUGCAAGCGUUAUCCGGAAUUAUUUGGGCGUAAAGGAGCUCGUAGGCGGUUUGUCGUCGUCUGCUGUGAAACCGGAGGCUCAACCUCCGGCCUGCAGUGGGUACGGGCAAACUAGAGUGCGGUAGGGGAGAUUGGAAUUCCUGGUGUAGCGGUGGAAUGCGCAGAUAUCAGGAGGAACACCGAUGGCGAAGGCGGCAUCCUGGACCAUUACUGACACUGAAAAGCGAAAGCCAGGGGAGCAACGGG
rnacentral:rRNA from 1 species